rnacentral:lncRNA from 1 species
ACCAAAAUUUGCACAAUAAGAAUACAUAUUUCUAUUCCACAUUUUAAAGGCUCGAUAUGAUGUCAGAAUAGGUAUAGAGGAAACAAGAAAUACAUAACAUAAAGAAUGUGAGGUGUGUUGAAACACACUCUUAAACGAAUGAAUGACUGGCAUUGUAAUUGAGAGAAACACUCGUCUCAAAUUAUAAUAGACUUUUUACCAAUUUUUGAAGCAACAUUCUUAUUUAAAGAAUAUAAUAGUUAAUAGUGGAGCAGAAAAGGAGUGCCAUUCUAGAGACGGAAAUAGCUAAGUAAACCAAGAAUGUUUUGCAGCGGCCUGUUGCUGAGUUCAACCAUUAUACUUUGAAACAUCCUUUCUAGUGCAAAAUGCUGGAGCAGGAAAAAGCUUGCUGUCACUUGGUGAAUAAAUAAAAAAUAUAUUUCUCGAGCUACUGAAGCACUCUAGUUUUAAGUGAUUUAUACUCUGUUCAAAGUAGUACAUGUAUAUUCUUCUAUUUCUGGCAAAUUACCCGUUCAAUAUAUGCAUAUGCGGUCACUUCUUCCAUUGAGGCAACCUCUGCACCACUACCUGUACAUAUCAUCGAACUACCAUUGUAUGAGCGAGCGCUAAAAUUGCAGACAGACAGUUGUUCAUUUUUAGUUGUUUACCCACAUGUUUAGGACCUUGAGAUGAUAAUAACGUCUGACUUGAAUUUGUUGGGAAUAAAACCCCUACCAAAAUAAUAUUCACGGUAAUAAAAGCGGAAUAAUAAUGUA